UUCUGCACGAGUGUUUGAGAAAUUAGUGAAUACAGCAACCCAGACAAAGUCACAGUAAAAAAAGGUGCAGUUCAUCUAUCAAGCAGCAAUUGGGUUGAACUGUUUCACAGUAAAAUGAACAGUGUAUUAUCAAUUGGAAUCCACACAGUUGUAAAGAAGGUUUGAGAUAUAAUACACCAUAUAGCUACCUCAACAGCAAGAAGGAUGUUGUAAAGGAGACAAAAACCCAUCAUUUCAGGGGAAGUGGACAGAGCUCAGAAAGCCAACAAACAACCAACUUAAGAGCAAGUAUAAUAGUAGGCUAUAAGCCGGCUAAAUGCUGAGGUGGAGGAGAGAAGAGAGGAGAGAGAGAAGAAGCGGGCUGUAAACUUACAGCCGGCUUGGACACAAGAACCAAGAAACUCUGUGAGAGAGACAAGUGGGCCCUGUAUUAAUUGUAAAGUGCAAACUAUUAUAUGGGUAGGUUGAGAAAAUGCUACAAAGAACCUUGUAGCCAACAGGUCGGUUGUAUUAUUAGCCUUGCUCUAAUUAUUACUCCCUCCGCCCCGAUAUAGAGUAAACUAGUAUAAUUAUGA